CACGAGCACCACUAAACGAGCGCUGAGCCGCGCGGGGCCAGAAGCUGGACCGGCGCGCACACCUGCCUUGCCUGUCACCUGGAGCCUCUGAGACCCGCCCACAGCCGUCUGGGCUGUGUCCACCGUGAGAACCAGAGCUUUGUUCUCCCCAGGAUCCCGGAGACGCGCCAUUGUUACUUCGGGACACCUGGGGGCCGCGUAAGGACAGGAAAUUUUUGUUUUUCAAAUAGAAUUGACGAAUAAAAGCAAAUAACUACUUCUUUUGUGAAGUCUUGGAAAAUGCUACCUAAAAUGGAGUCCCCGUGGUCAGAGAGACACAUUCGAGGAACCUAAGAUCAUCAAGAGGCUGCGGCUGAGCUGUGGCCUAGCCACUUGCCGCUGUGACCCCCACUGACCAAUCAGCUGUGGACUCCUGGACUUUGUUGAUCGCCUGCACCAACCAGCCCGGCUUUGCCUUCUUUGACUCAAGCCCUUUGUUCUCUUUCCCACACACACUGUUAGUUUUAUUCGAAUCUUUGUAUUCCGAAUUGCAGCUUCUAAGACCCUAAAGAAAGCUGUCUUGGUUUUUUUCAGCCUCGAUAUUGAUAACUGGUUAUUCUUGUAGCAUUUUCUAAGGUUAUUAAAACAUGUUCUGCAGGUAGCUAGCUUGUAAAGCUAAGCGGGACAACGUCAUGGUCAUCAGCGGUCACACAGUGCCCUCUGGUGGCUCCGUGAGAAAACGACACGCAGGCUCCAGGACACCAUGGUAAACUGACAUUGAAAUAAUGCUAUUAGGUCAAAGUCCUCUAAUAUUCAGCGUUUUGGGAGUGCCUUAUCGAGGAAGUCCCUGUUGAGGACUUCAGGUAGAGAUGCAACAGGAGGUGGGAUUCGGUUUGUGGUGUCUGUAAGACAGCAAUCCAGAGGUGUGUAAACCCCUAGCCCUGAGCCUGACUGCUGAGGGUGGAGACGCAGAACUGCCACCCCCAGACCCGCAGUGAGCACCUGCCACAGCCCCCAGCCUCCCGGGGAAGCUGGGUCCAGCCCCACCUUCAUUGUUCUAUUCACUCAGCUCCCACACUGCUGGCCUGGCCACCAGGGGCCCCACUGCUGAACACAAACACACUUACCACGCUAUGCUGUUCUUCUCCACAAUGCAAUUUUUUUUUUCCCUCUGUACCGGAGAUUGAGCUCAGGACCUUGUAUUCGAGAGACAAGCGCGGUGCCACUGAGCUAAAUCCCUGGCCCUUCCACAAUGUUACCUCAAUAAAUUUUGGAAUUUGAAAUGGACAAAGUAUUUGAAAGAAGAACAAAAAGAAAGGAUUACAGUAAUGAUUGGACUGCCCUGCAUGGGUGUGGCUGUUACAAACAGCACACGUGAAACCACUCUCUGGAGUUAAGGCUUUUUGUGAGGAAAAGAAAAGUUUAUCCUAGAGACUAAAAUCAGUGGCUAAAAUUAGGGAUAGAUUUUUAGCAGCUAUCUGGGAAAAGCUAAGUUUAUUACAUCCAUUUAUUACAGGAUGGGCUGACAUUGGGAGAGCAGCUAGCUGGGAGAGAUUUCAUCCAGGAGUGGAUGGGCUAACAUCAGGAGAGAGACAUUAACAGCUAACUGGGAAAGGAUUAGGCUUAUGUAGGUAUUGAAGGGGCUGAGGAAUCCGGGGUGGAAUGUUUAUG
rnacentral:lncRNA from 1 species